UUUUACUACCCUAAAUGAUGCUCCGAUGAAUACAAAAUUGACCCUAUUUCCAGUUAGUUCUUCAAAAGGUAUCUAUAGAAAAGGAAUUACAGGGUGACAGGGGCCCACUUUGAGGCUCUAUCUACAUAUUGUCAACAUGCUUUCCAAAAAGGUUGUGGCAAUUUACAUCACAAUUAUAUAAUUUUGAAAAACCUCUGCCCCCUUAGUCUUCCUCAAUUUCAGAAACCAGGUCUCUUCUAGAGAGAUGGGGCCCCCUGGCCUUGUGUAUCACUAAACAAUACUUGGUCAACGGCUACAGCUGGGUUUUUCCCAAAGAAGCUUUCAUCUCAUUUCACUUCGUUAAACGAACACACAACAGUUGCUAAAAGAGGGAAGAAGGGUCUUUAUUGUUUUUUAAAGGCCCCUGUGAGCAGGCCAUAGUGAAGUUCCAGGACACGACACAGCCGGGUCUAUCCCAAUCAUAUACACAUCAGGAUGAGCAGGUCUGAAAGAGAAACGCCCCAUUCCAAAUGGCAGCGGCAGCUCAGAGCCGGGUGGCCAAAAUGCCCAUUAGCUGUUUGUCAGGAGUAUUUUUAGAAAGCGCAGAACAAGACUGGGAGGAGAACCAUGCUGCCCUGUGCCCUCUCCCCGGGAUCCAUCGCCGAAGCCUCCAGAAACUGCCCGCUAUCAGCUGCACUCCCCACGCUGACAAGCCCAGCACACACAACACACCCCAGACAGCAUUAAAGGUGCCCCUGAGCAAGGACACACGUCUGCCCCCAAAAUCUGUCUGAGGAGCCUCACGAUAUUCACUUACUGCAGGGAGCUUCUGUUAUCAGAAUGCGCAGACAUGUGGAAAUUAGCAUCAGAUCUCUGAAACGCAAUGAUCUGGGGGAAAAUCCCAUGAUCUAAAUCAUAGAUGUCAUACCUUGCAAUCUGUCUAACGUUCCAAAAAUGUCCAUUUUCAUUGCUGUUCUCGAGGCCUAUGGUCUUCCACAGUGAACGAGGCUUGUGCAUACAGUCAGGCAGAACAGGGCCGAUCAAUUAACCUCUCUGAACCUCAGUUUCCUCAUCAGAAAAGUAGGGCCAAAUAGUAAUGUCUGCCUCAUAAGGGUCUUGUGAAAAUUCGGAACCCUUGGCCUGUAAAAGGCCCUCAGGAAGUGCUAAUUUUAAUGCCGGUGGUCAUGGUACGGUUCAAAAGCAGAUUUAUCCAGCUAUAAAUUCCUGGCACAUUUUACUUCUGGAAACCACUGCGCUCUAGCCUUUCCACCAGAGGAAGGGAGAGAAAAGAAAUGAAACCUAAAAGUCACAUUUGCAUUAUCUCAGCCACCCCUGUAAGCCACAUAAUGGGAAGAGGAAUUUGUAACAACUUCUAAAAAUGAAACUGUCAAGUGACCAGUGGCUAUUCCUGUCUCCAUUAUGCAUCUAUUAGAAGCUAAAGAGACAUACAAAGGACGUACAUUUGCGUGAACUCUGCGCAGCACCAGGACCUUCUUCUGACUCCAUCUCCCCUCUUCUAACAUGAGAAGAAUGGACUGGAGAAAACCUGCUCAGGAAACCUUAGUCCAGGCAGGAGACGAAGAUGCCUUGUGUGGGGACGGCGGCAGGGCGAAGUUUCAGGUUUUCACUCAGAAAGUUCACAAAACUCUGGCACCUGCUCCUGUUUUGUCAGCAAGUGCAGUGGAUGAAACAGUAACUGAGCAAGUAAGCAACUACUGCAGCAAAAACUCAAAACUGCUAGUCUGCUUAGUUAACAAUUUUUCCCUUCCCCACGCUCAUUUUGUUCACUGGGAGUUUAGAUUGCACUCUUAACACAACAUCCUAUUUUCUGUCAGUGAAGUUGUUCUUAGUUCAUAUAAUGGAAUCCACUGGCUCAACAUCGUUCGGAACGAACGCCAUUCUUGGCUACCUGAACGUUUUUGAGAACUGCAGUUCUAAGUUUCUGCCACCAUGCUAGCCUUCUGCUACGGGCUGAAUUGUGUCCUCCCCAAAUCCACAUGUGGAAGCCCUAACUUCUAAUAACUCAGAACGUGAGUGUAUGUGGAAGUAGGGCCUUUAAUGAGAUGAUUUAGCUAAAAUGAGGUUGUUAGGGUGAGCCCUAAUGGAUUACAAUAUGCCUGGCAUCCUCAAAAGAGGCAAUUUAGACACACAGAGAGACACUGGGACAUGCACGCACAGGGAAAAGGCAAUGAGAGGACACAUAAGGAGGCAGCCAUCUGCAAACCAAGGAGAGAGGCCUCAGGAGAAACCGAACCUGCUGACAUCCUGAUCUUGAACUACGAGCCUCCAGAACCGUGAGAGAAUAAAUAUGUGUUGUUUAGGCCUCUCAGUCUGAUGUCUUGUUGUAACAGCCCCAAAAAACACAUACACCUUCCUUUUAGGCCUCUGAACCUCAGUCAGAGUUUGCACACCCAGACAGUGGAAGCUGGACUGCAGCCUCUGGCCACCAACCUUCUUCCCCCAGGGGUGUUCUCCUAGCCCCGGCUGGAAAAGUGGAGGAACAAAUUGUAACUGUGCUCUGGGGCACACACGGAUGUCCUCCAUGAACAACAGGUUCCCAACUCUUGUAGAAAGUCAUCACUUUAUGCUACGCCUUGUGCCCCACCCCAUGCUCUUUUCCGGCACAAAUACCAACAGGGGGAGCCACCUUUACCUUCCACCCACGUGACCGAGUGACACAGAGGGCUGCCAGCACAGUCAGCGGGCACCAGGCCCCUCUGGAAGGGGACACACCAAGAGGAGGUGGGAGGACCGGGGGACCUCAAAAUUGUCUCUGGCCUUGUGCUGGCUUUGGGCCCCUGCCAGAGACAGCGGUUUCUAGGGAUGAGAACAUUUUGAAAGAGACUCUCUGGGUGGUGGUUAAGCCCCCGUGGGUGGAGGGCUCCCGCCUCACCCCCGCCAGGCGCCCCUCCCAUGCUGUUCCCCUCCCAGAUGCCCAGCAGCCACGGGGGCGCAGCUGCUCCGAAUUAGUGCUGGGGCCCUGCUGCGGAACAGAGCACAGCCGGGAUGGGGGCGUCCCACCCGCUCUGACUCCGGGAGGCUCUAGGAGGGUGUGUAAGAAAGCUGGACGGCAGUGGUUUUCCCUCAGCGCGGCCACGUGGCGUCUCUCUCACAGUCAGUAAGAUGGAGAAGCAGGGACAAACCUGGUGAUAGAUUUAGAAGGGAGAAUGAGCAAAACUUGAUGGCUGGGGGCGCUGUUGGGAGUGGGGUAGAGACGCGAGAGGAGCUAGGAUCAUUCAUGUUCUGGCUUAAAUGGCUGGAUAGACCAAGAGGUCAUUCUCUAGCCACAGGGAUUCUAGGAGGAGUAGUUUUGAAGAUAAUUACAGAUUUCCUUAUGGCAAUUAUGUUAUAAUAUAUGCAUUUAUGUGUUUCUUCCUCCAACUAGACUGUAUACUCCUUGAGGACAGAGAAACUCUGUAGGCACUUCUGUAUAUUGCAGGCACCAGGUUGGAGCAUUCAUUCAGCACUUACCGAACAAACACUAAUUGAGGGCCCCACCGUGUGCACAGCAGUGGCUCAAGUACUGCACCAGCUCUAGAAGUGCGGGGGCCAGACACACAAGUUUAUUAUCUCUUGGAUAAAUAUUUUAUUUGAUUUUUUAUCGAAAAUAAUUUUUUUAAUGUUUAUUUAUUUUUAAGAGAUAGAACGCGAGCAGGG